rnacentral:rRNA from 1 species
UACGAAGGGGACUAGCGUUGUUCGGAAUUACUGGGCGUAAAGCGCACGUAGGCGGCUUUGUUAGUCAGGGGUGAAAUCCCGGGGCUCAACCUCGGAACUGCCUUUGAUACUGCAAAUCUCGAGUCCGAUAGAGGUGGGUGGAAUUCCUAGUGUAGAGGUGAAAUUCGUAGAUAUUCGGAAGAACACCAGUGGCGAAGGCGACUUACUGGACGAUUGUUGACGCUGAGGUGCGAAAGCGUGGGGAGCAAACAGG